GCGCUUCGGGGGCGGGGCCGGCGCCUGGCGCGCGGAAGGAGGGCACGGGGUUGGAGUGUUCGAGUGUGUAGGUCUGGCGCAGGCCGGCGGCCGAGGGCUAUUGGCUCGGUUUGAGGCUGUCUUUGCGGCGGGGCCUUUGACGUCCGUCCCGCCCGGCUGCAGAGGCGUCAUAAUUGCUUUGGGGAUUCGUUCUUGGUUUAUCCGCGAAGCUGCCCUCCCUCCUUCCCUCUUGUGCCUGGGCUCAGUCGGGCGCCCGCCGAGAUCGCGCGCCCCACCCCGCUCCCUGCCUCGCCACCACCUGCCUACCUGAUGCUCAACUUGCACCCAUUCCACAGUCAAUCACCCGGGGAAUAUUAGGGGCAGGAUUUGAACCCACAUCCUCAGAAUUCAGAGCUGAUAUUCUUUUCAUUUACUAUGCUGCUGGUGCUGCCCUCAACAGACAUAUAGGUAAGUU